rnacentral:lncRNA from 1 species
AGCUCCGUUCGGUACACGUUCUUGGUAGUGGGGUGACGCAUGCGCAGUACGAUAGACGAACUACGACCACUGCCGAAUGCUUUCGGGGUAAUUAAAAUGAAGGGCAGUGUCCAAACGUCAUUAAAUCAUAUUCAUAAUGGAUUAUUAUAUUAAAAUAUAAAUGCCAAAUCUACAACAGUUACAAGAUUGUAAGUAUAUCUUAAAUAUGUAUUUCCUAUCUAUCGCCUUGUUGUUUUAAUUAUUAUUAUUAUUAUUAAUAUUAUAAUAUAUACACCACAAUAAAGUGGUGAAAGAGUUCAAUAAUUUUUAUAUUACUGAUCCCCUUGUUUAUAAUGCACAGAAUUCAUCUCCUUUUUCUUUUCUAUACCAUAACCAAAGUUUUAACGUCAUAUAUACUUUUUCUAAUAUUAUAUAUAUUAAAAACAACAUGGCAUAAAUUAAAUAGAAUAAUAUAGAUAUAUCAUGGUUAUGGAUAAAAACUGUAUUACUAAAAACUAAAGAUUUGUUUCAAAUGUCAAAAUGUUUUUUUUUUUUUUUUUAUAAAUAAAUGUAUUAAACAUCAUACUUUGUGAAAA